GAUGAAGAACGUAGCGAAAUGCGAUAAGUAGUGUGAAUUGCAGAAUUCAGUGAAUCAUCGAAUCUUUGAACGCACAUUGCGCCCCUUGGUAUUCCAUGGGGCAUGCCUGUUCGAGCGUCAUUUGUACCCUCAAGCUAUGCUUGGUGUUGGGUGUUUGUCCUCUCCUUUUGCGAUUGGACUCGCCUUAAAGACAUUGGCAGCCAGUGUAUUGGUCUUGUAGCGCAGCACAUUUUGCGAUUCUUGCUGAUAAUCACUAGCGUCCAGUAAGCCUAUUUUAACACUUUUGACCUCGGAUCAGGUAGGGAUACCCGCUGAACUUAAGCAUAUCAAUAAGCGGAGGA
rnacentral:misc_RNA from 1 species